GAUGAACGCUGGCGGCGUGCCUAACACAUGCAAGUCGAACGUGAGGGGGUAGCAAUAUCCCUGAAAGUGGCGCACGGGUGAGUAAUACGUAGGUGACCUGCCCUGGAGUGGGGGAUAACAGCUAGAAAUGGCUGCUAAUACCGCAUAAUACGAGAAUGCUGGGAAGUGUUCUGGUAAAAAACUCUGGUGCUUCAGGAGGGGCCUGCGGCCGAUUAGCUAGUUGGCGGGGUAAGAGCCCACCAAGGCAGUGAUCGGUAGCUGGUCUGAGAGGACGAUCAGCCACACGGGAACUGAGACACGGUCCCGACUCCUACGGGGGGCAGCAGUGAGGAAUAUUGGGCAAUGGGCGGAAGCCUGACCCAGCAACGCCGCGUGGAGGAAGACGGCCUUCGGGUUG
rnacentral:rRNA from 1 species